rnacentral:rRNA from 1 species
AGUGAACGCUGGCGGUAGGCCUAACACAUGCAAGUCGAACGGCAGCACAGUAAAAGCUUGCUCUUACGGGUGGCGAGUGGCGGACGGGUGAGGAAUACAUCGGAAUCUACUUUUUCGUGGGGGAUAACGUAGGGAAACUUACGCUAAUACCGCAUACGACCUACGGGUGAAAGCAGGGGAUCUUCGGACCUUGCGCGAUUGAAUGAGCCGAUGUCGGAUUAGCUAGUUGGCGGGGUAAAGGCCCACCAAGGCGACGAUCCGUAGCUGGUCUGAGAGGAUGAUCAGCCACACUGGAACUGAGACACGGUCCAGACUCCUACGGGAGGCAGCAGAGGGGAAUAUUGGACAAUGGGCGCAAGCCUGAUCCAGCCAUACCGCGUGGGUGAAGAAGGCCUUCGGGUUGUAAAGCCCUUUUGUUGGGAAAGAAAAGCAGCAGGUUAAUACCCCGCUGUUCUGACGGUACCCAAAGAAUAAGCACCGGCUAACUUCGU